CGGACGGGUGGAGUAACGACGUGGAAAACCUAGCCGUAUACUGGGGGAGUAACACUUAGAAAUAGGUGCUAAUACCGCAUAAGCGCACAGCUUCGCAUGAAGCGGUGUGAAAAACUCUGGUGGUAUACGAUGGUUCCGCGUCUGAUUAGCUAGUUGGUGGGGUAAUGGCCUACCAAGGCAACGAUCAGUAGCCGGCCUGAGAGGGUGAACGGCCACAUUGGGACUGAGACACGGCCCAAACUCCUACGGGAGGCAGCAG
rnacentral:rRNA from 1 species